GGGGAAUAUUGGACAAUGGGGGCAACCCUGAUCCAGCCAUGCCGCGUGAGUGAUGAAGGCCCUAGGGUUGUAAAGCUCUUUCACCGGUGAAGAUAAUGACGGUAACCGGAGAAGAAGCCCCGGCUAACUUCGUGCCAGCAGCCGCGGUAAUACGAAGGGGGCUAGCGUUGUUCGGAAUUACUGGGCGUAAAGCGCACGUAGGCGGAUUGGUCAGUUAGGGGUGAAAUCCCGGAGCUCAACUCCGGAACUGCCUUUAAUACUGCCAGUCUAGAGACCGAGAGAGGUAAGUGGAACUCCUAGUGUAGAGGUGGAAUUCGUAGAUAUUAGGAAGAACACCAGUGGCGAAGGCGGCUUACUGGCUCGGAACUGACGCUGAGGUGCGAAAGCGUGGGGAGCAAAC
rnacentral:rRNA from 1 species